rnacentral:rRNA from 1 species
UGGGUACGGGCAGACUAGAGUGAUGUAGGGGAGACUGGAAUUCCUGGUGUAGCGGUGAAAUGCGCAGAUAUCAGGAGGAACACCGAUGGCGAAGGCAGGUCUCUGGGCAUUAACUGACGCUGAGGAGCGAAAGCAUGGGGAGCGAACAGGAUUAGAUACCCUGGUAGUCCAUGCCGUAAACGUUGGGCACUAGGUGUGGGGGACAUUCCACGUUUUCCGCGCCGUAGCUAACGCAUUAAGUGCCCCGCCUGGGGAGUACGGCCGCAAGGCUAAAACUCAAAGGAAUUGACGGGGGCCCGCACAAGCGGCGGAGCAUGCGGAUUAAUUCGAUGCAACGCGAAGAACCUUACCAAGGCUUGACAUGAACCGGAAACGCCUGGAAACAGGUGCCCCACUUGUGGUCGGUUUACAGGUGGUGCAUGGUUGUCGUCAGCUCGUGUCGUGAGAUGUUGGGUUAAGUCCCGCAACGAGCGCAACCCUCGUUCUAUGUUGCCAGCACGUGAUGGUGGGGACUCAUAGGAGACUGCCGGGGUCAACUCGGAGGAAGGUGGGGACGACGUCAAAUCAUCAUGCCCCUUAUGUCUUGGGCUUCACGCAUGCUACAAUGGCCGGUACAAAGGGUUGCGAUACUGUGAGGUGGAGCUAAUCCCAAAAAGCCGGUCUCAGUUCGGAUUGGGGUCUGCAACUCGACCCCAUGAAGUCGGAGUCGCUAGUAAUCGCAGAUCAGCAACGCUGCGGUGAAUACGUUCCCGGGCCUUGUACACACCGCCCGUCAAGUCACGAAAGUUGGUAACACCCGAAGCCGG